UCACACACUUGAUUUGUCCUGAGGCUGAUAAGAUGCUAAGGUCUGCUGUUGGAUUGUCAUUCAGCUGAUCUAGGGUGUCAUCUGCAGGAUGCAAAGGGAGCUGGAUACCAAGGAAAAGAAAACGCACAGAAACCUGAUGUGGCAUCUUGGCUGCUGGUUACUAUGCACACGAUUUAUCAGCUCAGAAGUAGAGAGUGAGCUUUGGCUCUUGGGUGCUGAAUGGCUCGUUGACUUGGCUGCUCCUGUCUUCCUUCAUGUUCAGGAAACAGAAGAUACAGUCAAACUUUGAGCUAAUGGGUGUGUUCCAUUCAUUAUUUACCCAGGACAGUGUUUCAUCAUAGAAGCUCCUAAGUGUUCGACAAAGAAGAGAGCAUCUCGUUAGUGCCUAGGAGGUUAUGAGGUAGGCAGACGGUUACUGUUUUUCUUCUUUUCUUGGACAGAAGCACAAAUGUCUCAGAGAA